UAGUUGCCAUCAUUAAGUUGGCCAUUUAAGGUGACUGCCGGGGACAAACCGAAGGAAGGUGGGAAGACGUCAAAUCAUCAUGCCCUUAUGACCUUGGGUUACACACGUGUUACAAUGGACGGUACAAGGAGUUGCAGGACCGCGAGGUGGAGUUAAUUUCAUAAACCGUUUCAGUUCGGAUGGUAGGCUGCAACUGGCUUACAUGAAGCUGGAAUCGUUAGUAAUCGCGGAUCAGCAUGCCGCGGUGAAUACGUUCCCGGCCUGGUACACACCGCCCGUCACACCACGAGAGUUUGUACCACCGGAAGUCGGGGGGGUAACCUUUGGAGCCAGCCGCCUAAGGUGGGACAGAUGAUGGGGUGAAGUCGUAACAAGGUAGC
rnacentral:rRNA from 1 species